CGAGAAUAGCCUAAGCUCGUUGACUGGUGAGGAGGAGGCGGCUGUUAAUGGGAGGGAGCGGCUGUUAAUGGGAGUAGGGGUGAUUGAAGGGGGCGGCUGUGUCUGUGAAGUGUGAAUGAAUAUUGAAAGGGUUGGAGGGGAGGGGGCGGCUGUGUGAAAGGGAAAGCAAAUAAAUGGUCUGCUAGGGUUGUUGAAAGGGAAAGUAAUGGGAGGAGGCGACCCGCUUGGUUUAUAUUUUUUUUUCAUUCCUAAACCGAACCGGUUCGGUUCGGUUCGGGUUGGCUGGUUCAGGCACACCAAAACCGGAAACCGAACCGGACAUUUUCCUAAAUAUUUUAACCAGUUCAAUCGGUUUUUUUUACCGGUUCGGUUUUUUUGGUUAAUUUUUUUCUGGUUUUCUUGGUUAAAUCGGUUUUCCGGUUUUUUUGCUCCCUCCUAGUCAUAGUUAUGUCUACCCCUAUCUUAAUGUGCAGAUAGGUUGAACAAGUGGUGAUAUUCUAUUGGUUACUUGGAUCAGCUGGUCACCAUGUCACAAAAAGAUUUAAAAUUCUCCUUUCAUUUACUCACGUUGUAAAUUGGUACUUUCUCAUAAAUUUGU
rnacentral:lncRNA from 1 species